rnacentral:sRNA from 1 species
CUGCGCCCCCGAUUGCAACGGCAUCCUUUUUUGUUGUGAAAUAGCCCAAAGCGCUGGCCAACAAAAAAGAUACAGUGGAAAGCGGGAAAUGUG